CUAGAGCCGAAUGGUUGGCGGAAAGAUAGCUUGCUUAUUAGUGACUCGACAUGCAGGAUCGAGCAAACCACGAACAACAGUCGAUAAAUAUGCUAGGGAUUAUUGGACAAAAUUAACCACUGGGGGGGGAGGGGGUGGUAAAAUACGAUUCUACUUAGUAGCGUUUUGUUAUUGCCAAAGAUUUUUCCAUUUCGCACGGGAGUAAUAAAAAACUAACAUUCACGAAUGAAAAAUCCUGAUAGGCCUUUUAGAAGUAAUCAAGAAACCUUGACAGCUACGAAAGAGAAUCUCCCUCAACGUACUCCCCCUAAGUAACGCUUUGGAGUCAUUCAGAUUCAAGUUUCACGUUGCCUAUUUACGUAGCAAGACAUUCAGCGAGAGAUUAUUUGCAUUUACAAGCAAGGAGUAAUUUGUUUCGCUCGAGUAAUUUGAAUUCAGAAGUGGACUUUCUCUAGUUAGGAGGCGGUCAUUCUGAGACGAAUUCACAAAUGUGACUCAUAACCGUGAAGAAGAGUUCAUUCGUGAACGAACAGAAGGGCUGCAUUGACACGAAAUGGAGCAGACCCGGAAGUCAAGAACAAAGCACAGCUCUGCGCGUCUGUGUAUCGUUGCGGAAACAUAGGAAUGUUGUUUGUCACUGCGAGAUUUAUUAUGGGUCUAAAACCCGGUUAACAGUCAAAUGAGUCCCUCGAAAAACUUUAAUAUCCCUUUGAAAUUCACCGAACUUGCGAAACCGUCGAACAGCACCCGAAAAAUUUCCAUAAUUUGCCUCGAAGCUCGUAAUUUACACUUCCACAAUCACAAGACAUUUGGGUGCGACUCGCAAAACACCCACGCAAAAUUCACUUGACCUGAAGGAGAUCACGUGAACGAAUUCGCCCGCGUUUUGCGCAAUAUUAUACGUGCUGUAAAGCCGCCGUCAGUAUACGGAAAUACUUAUGCGGAAACUGGUGGCCACCAUGUUCUGCUCUUCAUUACAAAGCUGUCCAAAGUACAAUAUUUUUUUUAAAAAAUUAAUCUCAUUUACUCCAAGGUACUGAAUGCUCUCGUUGUGACCAUUGCGAGUCUAACAUUCGCGCAUAUUCUCAAUUGUUUUAAAACUUUCCAUCAUUUCCUUCAUUAAAACGCACUCGAUCAAAGUUUACCAUUCCAUCACGUCCAGGUGUUAGCGGCCAAAUUUAUAAUUUUGAUACCGGUUUACGUUCUUUCUUUCGCGUAAGCGCAUCAGAUGCUACCUUGAGCCUAAAGAAAAAGCAUGGAAAUUAGCCACUCAGCUCGGAAGCGGCGUACAAAGCCAUAAAUUUGCAUCGCGGAAAAAAAGAGCGAAUUAUAAUUCACUUCCAAUAUGUUCACUUAAGUUUCAAUUGAAAUGACCCUUCUGACGCAAAGAAAAAUAGAGGUCGCCUUCUGCGUGCAAUCACACUUCCUACGGCUUUGACGUCACCGUGCAUACGUGCGAUAUCUUCAAACAUUUCCUGACUUGUUUGAUAGGUACUCUUUAUCUACGGAGUUUCUUAACCAAACGGCUACAAGACCAACCACAAACCCUCCACACAUACUGCAACCCUUUGUUACAGCGAUAUAAAUAGAGCGGUAUGUAUGAAGCGUUUGAUUCGCUUUUGCGAUUCGAAAUUCUGUGGUUUCAGCCCGAUCUAGAAUGCUUUGGAAGGUAAAAAUGAAAUCGAAAGAGCAGCAUUUUCUGUUUGACAAUAAGUUAUCUCAACAUCUACAAAAUUAGAAGGAAUAUCAAGUUCCUGCUCGACAAAAUUUUUGAAAAAAAAUUUUGAGCGGACUGAUUUAAAGAUGUGGUCGAAGUAACAAACCCUAAAUUUGGCUUCUUACCGCGAAUGAGUUUAAGUCUAACCGAAAUUUUCCUUAGUAACCAUUUUACGAUAUCGAACGCAGUCACUGAGAUGUCGGAGUCUUUGAAUACGUGUCUGAUGGUAGCGGCGCGCGUGUGAGAAUGCACACCUUCGUACAUCGUGCUUCGAGAGGGCACACUUCACGCUUCCGAUCUACACCGAACUCGCGCCGAUAUAUAGUAACAAUGCCUUUCAGGCAAAGUAAAAGUUGCCAGGUACGUUAUUAACCCAAGACAAAUAAAUAAGGGGGUGGAGCCAUUCAAUUAUCUUUGCAAAUCUGUACACUGGAACAAUGAUUUUAAGAAGUAUCAGAAAACAUCUGCAUGCUGUCUUGCGAAUUGCCACUGCAUUUGGAAGGAUGCUGAAGAUAGCCGGCCGAACACUGCCGAAGAACACCGAAGAAAAUAGCAAGGAGCCGAAGAAAGAUCUUCCUAAUGGCAGCUUCUUCGUUACAUUGGGGUUCGUUGAAGGUCGUUAAUGACCGCUUUACAAUAUGCUACACAGAAUCUAUAGAUACGAAGUAACCACAUCAUAAGACGAGACUGUUCCCACUGAGGCUAAGCUAACUUUACACUACCAGGACGUUCAUUUUACGUUACCGGAAUGCUUGCAAACAAGGAAUGAGCUAAAGCUGGAUUUGAAAACAGUAGCAAUUGCAAUGAGAGAAAGGAAGAUCAUCCAAGAAGGGGGAGGAAGAGGGAUCUGCAAGAUACGUGCAAAGAAAAAAGUAUACGGCCAGCAAUAUCCUUUGGUUAGACUCCGGACAAUGUAUCCUUCGGAGAGUGAACUUGACGCUAAGGGGGCAGCCCAAGGGGGCAGCCCAAGUAGACUAUCGGCGGAAAUCUUCGGCAGAUAACGGUGUAUUGAUUUUUUCAGUAACUCAUGAGGGAAAUCAUUGUUUCAAGGCACUCUAGCGGUCUAACCGUUAUUUUGUCUCUAUUAAAGAAGGAGUCAUUCCUUUCUUCAAAUUUCUGCAACCCUCGACGCGUGAAACUAGAAGAGCUUGAAUUGAACCUAGGAGAGGCCGAGAUCCUUCAUUUUCAACCCCAACACUUUUAGCGAGACAAAUGGAGGAUAUUGCGCUCACUCGUGAGAGAUACUUUCAGCACGAGAAGAUAAAAUUCGUAUCCCCA
rnacentral:lncRNA from 1 species